rnacentral:lncRNA from 1 species
UUUGUUAGGAUUACACACAUCAUGCCGAAAAUCCCGAAUCUCCGUGCAUUUGGUAAACAUUGUCACAAUUGUGGAAAGUGGAUGGAGCGAAGGGCUCUUCGUAAAGAUGGUGUGUAGUAUUUUAGUAGUGACAUGCAAUUUUUGUGAUGGCAAAAUAUUUGCAAGAGAUGGCAAACAAAAGCAAAUGUGCAGUCGAUGUGUGGAAUGCGACAACAUUAUACUCGAUAAUUUCAAUUAUUGCGAGUGCUGUGGCUGUAAAAUGAAAAAUAAUACUUAUUACCAGAUAGAGAUGUCGAUAACGAAGAGUUGAAUGUUAGAACUUAUGAAAAUAUUAUUUACAACUCAUUUCGAGAAGCUGCUCAAGCUCCUUUUUGACGAUCAAGAAUGGGAAAGAUGUUUGAAUGAAGCAAUUGAUUUUAAACUUCCUCGGCAAUUAUUUCGAGUUCGAAGAUUCGAUGAUGUAAAAAUUCAAAUUAUCAAUACCACUGAACAAGGCUUGAAAGGUGAUAAAUAUUUAUCGAAAAAUGUUAUAUAUAGAGAAAUUUUGUGAUAAUCAACCUCUGAUGUAUAAUAGAGAAUAUUUUUUUAUAAGUACCUUUGCCAAAUUCUCGGAUAAGUACUCAUUGUAAAAUUACAAUUUACAUACUUCCUAAUAUUAUUCUUGAUUUAGCCAAUUUGGAUAAAGAACCACAAUUUCAUAUUUUAUUUUUAAAAUUAGUAAGUACGUAUCUACCUGUCAAA